GGGCACCACGGGUCAGACGCCCGGGCGGGACCCCGGGCUCCGGCCCGCUCAAGCCCUCGGGCCCACCCGCCGCCCAACGCAGCCCCAGGCCGCUCCCGCCCCGCUCCCCAGCACCCAUGCUGAGCCCCCCACAGCCCGGUUCGGCCCGGGAAGCACCAACCCGCCUCCUCUGCCCUCCAGCUGCUGUCGCGCCGCCGUCACCGUCACUUACGUCCUGCCGCAAAAGGCCUCCGGCCCCGCCCCUCAGCUCGGCCUUCUCCUCAAGCCGCUGGCCCGCCCCGCCCUCCGACCGUAAAGCAGGCCGCUGGCUGCCGUGCGGGGCGUACUGGGGGGCGUGUCCCGGCAGGCCCCGCCCUCGGCCGGGCGGAAGGAAGUCCGGGCGGAAGCUGGCCUGUAGGGUGGCAUUCCUGUCGGUGUCGGUGGAGGCCAGGGCGUUCCUGCUAGUUGCUCCUAAGGGCUUGUUUUCGUUCUGGGUCGCCUACGUGUGGGUCGCAUCUCGCGACUCGAGUACAAAACAAAAACGCAGCGAACAAAACCCAAAGAGCUCCGCCCCCAAAAUAAUAAUAAUAACCCAGACAGAAUCCCAACUGCUCGCCCAUAUCUGGAAAUAGAAAGCGGACCGCCGGGCACCCACUGGCCCCUCGGGGAACUCCUGGAGACUUGGACCGUGGUCCGGUGUCCGGCCUUGGCCUCCGCCUCCGCCCCCGGUGUCCUGGCUGCUGCCAGUGACGACGGUCCCAGCCCGCCCUGCCCGGGCCUGUGCCUCCUGACCAACAUCCUGCCUUGUGCAUAUUGAAAUUUUUAUCAUUUCUAAUUUUUUUUUUUUAACUUGAGAGCCAUCCGCUGGUUUACUGCUCAAAUGGGGCCAAAGCCAGUAGCUGGGAACUGUAUCAGCCUCCCACGUGGGUGGCAGGGCCCCCAGCACUUGAGUCAUCACCUGCUGCCUGUAGUUAGUUGGAAGUCAAGACGGGGAUUGAACCCAGAGGCUUGGAGCAGGCAGAACGUUUGGAGAUUGCCGACUCUCUGUUCAUCAGCGUGGUGCAGAAUCACGGAGCUGGGACCAGGGCUGGCAUCGUGGGCACCUGACCUGUACACUCACAGAGGCUCUUGGAAGGCCCCUCUGCGUGGCUCACUGUUCUGCUAUUGUCAUUUUGGAAUUCCCAAUAAUUUCCAAACGCAGAGGUCUGCAUUUUUUCAAUUUUGCAACCGGGCCUCACAAGAUGGAGAGAUGGAGGCCAGGGGCGAGAGGGAGACUCCGCAGGGUCCUGGGGCUCUGCAGCCCCCACUUCCAGUCCCAGGUCUGCUGCCCUCAGCUGAGGCUGCCCCUACUGUGAUGUGGGUUUGUGGGGUCCAGCACUCUCUCUGCAAGGAGCUGUUCCCCUCUUCCUCCUCCUCCUGCCCACAUGCCCCCCCUCCCCAAGAUCUCCUGUCCUUGUUCUUUAAUGCAAAGCUUUCACAGGUGCAUUGCUGGGAUUGAAGACAUCCGUGAGCCCCCCGCUGCCUUCCAGAAGCACAAAUGGAAAUCCCGGAGGAUUUGGGUCCUGUUACUGGCCACGGAGGGGCAAGUUUCGUGGAUUUGCCUCAGCUUAGUAUGGAAAUAAGAAGCCGGGAAACACUUUGCAGAUAAAAAUAAAAUAAAAUAAAGGCAAAAACUUUAUUUCA
rnacentral:lncRNA from 1 species